rnacentral:lncRNA from 1 species
GCCGGUAGCACAAGAACCAAUUUCUACACUAAUCGAGAUACCAUCUAGCAAUGAUUUCUGACGUCCAGAUAGAUCGAAUUAUCAUAAAAGAAUAUUUUAGAAUCCAUAUGCAUGGUUACUGCAUAAUUCAUCCUUUUGACCCUUGAUGCUCUAGGAUGGUCUCAGGUUAACUGUCAACCGAGAUUGCUUUAUCCAUAUUGUAUUUCAAUCUUUCAAAUUUAUCUCAUGGAUUGUCCUGGCCAAGGC